UACGGAGGAUGCGAGCGUUAUCCGGAUUUAUUGGGUUUAAAGGGUGCGUAGGCGGCAUGUUAAGUCAGUGGUGAAAGUCCGAGGCUCAACCUCGGAAUUGCCAUUGAAACUGGCAAGCUUGAGUACAGUAGAGGUAGGCGGAAUUCGUGGUGUAGCGGUGAAAUGCUUAGAUAUCACGAAGAACUCCAAUUGCGAAGGCAGCUUACCGGAGUGUAACUGACGCUGAGGCACGAAAGUGUGGGGAUCAAACAGG
rnacentral:rRNA from 1 species